GAAGGGUCUCGCUCAUUUCCUGACUUCCUGUAGACCCACAGGUUGGUGGGCGUACAAGAAGCGAAGCAAUGGUGCCCUGUUACUGCGGGGAGUUGAAGAAAGUGAGUUUCACGUGGUUUACAUGGAUCUGUGGAGCUGGAGAGACUUUUCGGGUUCUCCACAAGACCCACUUUCACUAGCUGUAUCCGUCGCUCGUUUCCAAAACUAUAAUCUCAAUUUCCACAUGUGCCACGCAUUGUUACAGGAACUGUUCAACUCACCCUUCUUAUCACACAGUGAUGACUCAAACACAAAACCACAGCUGAAAAAGGCCCCCCAUAACUCACAAUAAACUGGAAAUGUUGACGUGGUUUCUGGUGUUUUUGGUAAAGUGUUCCUGUUGUGUGCAAUUGUCAAAAACGAAGAUGGAAAAUAUUAGCUCUGUGUGUGAUGUACUUUCCUUAACCCAGUAUUGGUUACUUACACCUAUUUAUGUUGAUGAUGUCCACGUUUAGACAUGACAGGAAGAAAUAAUUCUUUACAAAUGAAAGUAUCUGAAAAAUUACAGUAAAAUGAAAAAAGAGUAAAGGAUGUUUCCGGUGAGAGCGAGUGGGUGUCAUCUGUAGAUCAAUUUCCUGUAAGUCUUCUGCUUUCACUUCAACAUGUCGAGAAGACACAAAAAAGCUAAAUAGUGAGAAUAAAUACUAUGCCUUAUCUACUUGCUUUGCUCUUCUUCCUGCUGGAGAUAUGUAAUUUAGGACUUGGUUUGCCGACAGCUACCAUCCAUGGCCUUGUUAACGGAUCUGUGCUUUUGCCCUCUCUAUCUCACUACCCCAACCCAUCGGAAAUCCAGUGGAUGUAUAAUGGCAUGCUGGUAGUGUGGUAUGACAACGGCACAGUGCAACCACUUGUGAAAUCCAGAUUUGACAACAGAUUCAACCUGUUUCAAGGGAACGGCUCUCUGCAGAUCCAUGGGCUCCAAAUUCAAGACUCAGGCAUCUUUGCUGUAAAUAUAUUGAGAGAUUUAAACCAAACCUAUACAGAGGUACAUCUCUUAGUGCAUGAAAAGAUCAACACGCAUCUGGAGCUGCUGUCCAACGUGUCCGGGGAUGGCCACUGUGCUGUGGUGGUGAACUGUAGUACAAUUCUGAACCAUUGGAAGGUGGCAAAGUGCAACAGAACUGCAUGUCGGGAGACCGACAGCGGGGGGAUGGACAAGGAGUCCAGCAGCGUUCACAUUGACAUCUCAGCUGACAAACUCAUCUCCUGUAAGAGCAGCAACCCAGUCACCUCUGGCAGCAUCUCUCUCAUAGAUCUAUGCCCUGAUGAUCACAGCACAGGUAACAGAGUCAUCUUCAUCAGUCAGAAAAAAGAGUCUUUUGGGGAAUUUUUGAACAGUUAAAAUCCUCUGGCUUCUGGACAGCGCAGUACAUUUAGUGUAUUACUGGUUUUCAACUUACUAACUUAAUUGGCACUGAGAGUCGGUUCGUUACCCAAAAAAGUUUAUUAGUCGCAUCCAACGGAGUGGGCUGGGGCUCCUCAUCAAUUCUCUUAUUCUAUUCUGCUCUAAUUCUACAUGCAGCUGUUCUCCAGAAACAGUGGUGCUGGACUAAGUGACGGUCCUUUGUGAAUCACACUUGUGCCCCUCUGUCUUUCUGUGUCUUGGUGAACGUACUCUUGUUUCCUCUGAGUUGCAAGUCACUUUGGAGAAAGACGUCUGCUAUGUGAACACAUAGAAAGUAAAAGUCAGCAACAUGACAGAUCCAUUUUGGAUGGAAACAAAGCAGCGGACUCUCUUUGUCUUUCUCUCCCACCGAGCAGACAGCCUCGCGCACACGCCUGUGCGAUUCUGAGUCCUCUGGCUGGGUAUUUAUCACCUGUUGUAAACAAGAAAGCACAACGAGGAACCCUGGCCAGAGCUAAAGCAGGCUGUUGAUAAACAGAAGGCAGCAGUUACUGUUUGUGACUGUCUGUCAGGGCAUCAGGCAACACGUUGGUGCGUUAUUCUAACUGGUGCCCUGCUUCUCAAAAAAAAAAAAUGAAAUGCUGCUCAAAAAGUUUGUUACUGGAAGGUUCAUAAGUCAGGGACCCACUGUAUUUAUAAUGAUUCAUGAGUGCACAUUUUGACAUACUGACCUCUUAUUUCUGUUCUUUCAGAUUUGGACAAAGUUCAUAAUCAUCAUCGUUCUCGACUUGCUACCUACAGCAUUGCAGGGUGUUUUGCUGUGGUGCUUUUUUCGUUAGUUUUAAAUUCAAGUUCAAGGUUCAACGUCAGUUGUAAAUAGCCCUGGUGGUCCUUAGAUUGAUAGUGCACAAGAGCAGGUAGAACUGUGGUUUACCUAUAUAUUUUGGUACACAUUUAAAUAUUAUUAAUUAUCUUAAGUAAAUUGAGUCUGUAUCUAUAUUAUUUCUUUUUUUUACAUACUUGUUGGUGUCAUAUUGUAUUUUCUGUCCUUUUGUAUUUAUUUUGGGAAAUAUUGUGGCAGUCCAGGCAUCAAUACUGUCUUGUCUAGCUGGACCUCAAUGGGUGGUUGUUGUCUCAUAGCGCCUAGACAGUAUGAGUGCAUGUUAAUGUUUACAUGUUAGUGAAAACAUAUUUCUCACACUGCUUCCACUCCAGGGGGUGCGUUGGCACACUGGGUUUGGCCAGCACCUGCUUUCUGGUGGAUCUGGAGUUCAAGUCCUGCUUGGGGUGCUUUGUGAUGGACUGGCGUCCCGUCCUGAGUGUGUCCCCUCCGCCUCCAGCCUUAUGCUUUGUGUUGCCGGGUUAGGCUCCGGUUCGCUGUGACCUCUGCUUGGGAAGAGUGGUUUCAGCCAGUGUGUGUGUGUGUUUCCACUCCUCCCAUAGUUCAGCAAUGUGUGUUUCAGGUGAACUGGGAACAUUAAAUUGUGUAUGUGUGUGUGUUAUAUUGCUCUGGUGUGCAGAUGAGUGAUGUAGUGUAUCAGGAAUUGUACCUUGAAUGAAAAGCUGUUAUUCACUCUAAGUUGCUUUGGAAUAAAGCAAAUAAAGCAAGGUAACA
rnacentral:lncRNA from 1 species